GAUGAAGAACGCAGCGAAAUGCGAUACGUAAUGUGAAUUGCAGAAUUCAGUGAAUCAUCGAGUCUUUGAACGCACAUUGCGCCCCCUGGUAUUCCGGGGGACAUGCCUGUCCGAGCGUCAUUGCUGCCCUCAAGCACGGCUUGUGUGUUGGGCCUCCGUCCUCCUCCCGGGGGACGGGCCCGAAAGGCAGCGGCGGCACCGCGUCCGGUCCUCGAGCGUAUGGGGCUUCGUCACCCGCUCUUGUAGGCCGGCCGGCGCUUGCCGACACAUCAAUCUUUUUUCCAGGUUGACCUCGGAUCAGGUAGGGAUACCCGCUGAACUUAAGCAUAUCAAUAAGCGGAGGA
rnacentral:misc_RNA from 1 species